UACGAAGGGGGCUAGCGUUGCUCGGAAUUACUGGGCGUAAAGGGCGUGUAGGCGGUUUGUUAAGUCUGGCGUGAAAGCUCUCGGCUAAACCGGGAGAGGUCGUUGGAUACUGGCGAACUAGAGGAUGGUAGAGGCGUGUGGAAUUCCGGGUGUAGUGGUGAAAUGCGUAGAGAUCCGGAGGAACACCAGUGGCGAAGGCGACACGCUGGGCCAUACCUGACGCUAAAGCGCGACAGCAUGGGGAGCAAACGGG
rnacentral:rRNA from 1 species